UACGUAGGGACCGAGCGUUGUCCGGAAUCAUUGGGCGUAAAGAGCGUGUAGGCGGCCUUUUAAGUCCUGCGUGAAAUCCUGCGGCUCAACCGCAGACGGUCGUGGGAAACUGGAAGGCUAGAGUGCGGGAGAGGAGAGUGGAAUUCCCGGUGUAGCGGUGAAAUGCGCAGAUAUCGGGAAGAACACCCGUGGCGAAGGCGGCUCUCUGGAAC
rnacentral:rRNA from 1 species